UCACUUACCUGGACGGGGUCAAUGGAAGAUCAAGAAGGUCCAUGGCCUAGGUUGGUGACCUCCAUUGCACAUAGGAGGGGUGCCCGCCUAAGGUCGGCCCAAGUGGUCGAGCCUACGUCAUAAUUUGUGGUAGUGGGGGCCUGCGUUCGCGCGGCCUCUGC
rfam:Helianthus annuus linkage group 10, whole genome shotgun sequence.